AGUUUAUUCCUUUCUCUCUUUCCCAGCCAUGGCCUCUCAGCCACCAGUCACCUCUUCCCCCAACCCCCUGACCUCCCACUUCUCUUCUCAAUUCAACUGCUCUUCAGGAUUUCUGGUUGCACUACCUCUGGAGACAAGACUCUAGCAUUUGUUCUUUAUAGUAAUGUCAUUGGAUUGAGGAUACUUGUUUGCAGAGGAGGCAAGAAUGCGUUGUUCCGUUUUUGAAUUCCACACAUCUAAUAUGGAGCCUGAGCCACAGGGCUCAAAAUGUUAAGUAAACAAAUGAAUGGGAAAUUAAUAAGAAGAAUGCAUUGGCAAGACCGUGAAGGUACAUUUCUAGGAGUGAAUGCCUGCCAUGGGAAGCUUUGGGAAGAAGCCAGCUGCCAUGUUGUGAGAACUCUCAAGCAGCUGUGUGGAGAGAUCCAUGUGGUGAGGAACUGAAGCCUCCUACCCACCAUCAAGUCAGUGGCUCACUACUGUUGCAGUGAAUUCUCCAGCCCAUGAAGACUUUAGAUGAUUUACCCAACAUCUUGAUUAUAGCCUCAUGGAUUCCCUGAGCCAGAACAACCCAGCUAAGCCUCUCCUGAAUUCCUUACCUACAGAAACUGUGAGAUAAUAAAUAUUUAUUCUUUUAAGCCAUCAAA
ensembl:lncRNA novel transcript